rnacentral:misc_RNA from 1 species
AAAAUGCGAUAAGUAAUGUGAAUUGCAGAAUUCAGUGAAUCAUCGAAUCUUUGAACGCACAUUUCGCCCGCCAGUAUUCUGGCGGGCAUGCCUGUUCGAGCGUCAUUUCAACCCUCAAGCUCAGCUUGGUGUUGGGACUCGCGGUAACCCGCGUUCCCCAAAUCGAUUGGCGGUCACGUCGAGCUUCCAUAGCGUAGUAAUCAUACACCUCGUUACUGGUAUUCGUCGCGGCCACGCCGUAAAACCCCAACUUCUGAAUGUUGACCUCGGAUCAGGUAGGAAUACCCGCUGAACUUAAGC